AUGAACGCUGGCGGCGUGCCUCAUACAUGCCAGUCGCGCGAACAGACGAGGAGCUUGCUCCUUCGACGUUAGCGGCGGACGGGUGAGUAACACGUAGGUAACCUACCUAUAAGACUGGGAUAACUUCGGGAAACCGGAGCUAAUACCGGAUAAUAUUUCGAACCGCAUGGUUCGAUAGUGAAAGAUGGCUUUGCUAUCACUUAUAGAUGGACCUGCGCCGUAUUAGCUAGUUGGUAAGGUAACGGCUUACCAAGGCAACGAUACGUAGCCGACCUGAGAGGGUGAUCGGCCACACUGGAACUGAGACACGGUCCAGACUCCUACGGGAGGCAGCAGUAGGGAAUCUUCCGCAAUGGGCGAAAGCCUGACGGAGCAACGCCGCGUGAGUGAUGAAGGUCUUCGGAUCGUAAAACUCUGUUAUUAGGGAAGAACAAACGUGUAAGUAACUGUGCACGUCUUGACGGUACCUAAUCAGAAAGCCACGGCUAACUACGUG
rnacentral:rRNA from 1 species